rnacentral:rRNA from 1 species
GUCCACGCCGUAAACGGUGGGCGCUAGAUGUGGGGACCUUCCACGGUUUCCGCGUCGCAGCUAACGCAUUAAGCGCCCCGCCUGGGGAGUACGGCCGCAAGGCUAAAACUCAAAGGAAUUGACGGGGGCCCGCACAAGCGGCGGAGCAUGUUGCUUAAUUCGACGCAACGCGAAGAACCUUACCAAGGCUUGACAUCGCCGGAAAACUCGCAGAGAUGCGGGGUCCUUUUGGGCCGGUGACAGGUGGUGCAUGGCUGUCGU